UAAGCGUUGUUCGGAAUUACUGGGCGUAAAGGGCUCGUAGGCGGCCAACUAAGUCAGACGUGAAAUCCCUCAGCUUAACUGGGGAACUGCGUCUGAUACUGGAUGGCUUGGAUUCGGGAGAGGAAUGCGGAAUUCCAGGUGUAGCGGUGAAAUGCGUAGAUAUCUGGAGGAACACCGGUGGCGAAGGCGGCAUUCUGGACCGAUAUUGACGCUGAGGAGCGAAAGCCAGGGGAGCAAACGGG
rnacentral:rRNA from 1 species